UACAGAGGUCUCAAGCGUUGUUCGGAUUCAUUGGGCGUAAAGGGUGCGUAGGUGGCGUGGUAAGUCGGGUGUGAAAUUUCGGAGCUUAACUCCGAAACUGCAUUCGAUACUGCCGUGCUUGAGGACUGGAGAGGAGACUGGAAUUUACGGUGUAGCAGUGAAAUGCGUAGAGAUCGUAAGGAAGACCAGUGGCGAAGGCGGGUCUCUGGACAGUUCCUGACGCUGAGGCACGAAGGUCAGGGGAGCAAACGGG
rnacentral:rRNA from 1 species